rnacentral:rRNA from 1 species
UAGGGAAUAUUGGACAAUGGGCGAAAGCCUGAUCCAGCAACGCCGCGUGCGCGAUGAAGGCCUUCGGGUUGUAAAGCGCUUUUAGGGGAGAUGAGAAAGGACAGUAUCCUCUGAAUAAGCCUCGGCGAACUACGUGCCAGCAGCCGCGGUAAAACGUAGGAGGCAAGCGUUAUCCGGAUUUAUUGGGCGUAAAGCGCGUGCAGGCGGUUUGAUAAGUUGGAUGUGAAAUCUCCCGGCUCAACUGGGAGCGGUCAUUCAAAACUAUCAGACUAGAGGAUGGGAGAGGGAGGUGGAAUUCCGGGUGUAGUGGUGAAAUACGUAGAUAUCCGGAGGAACACCAGUGGCGAAGGCGGCCUCCUAGACCAUUCCUGACGCUAAGACGCGAAAGCUAGGGGAGCAA